CAGGGACUUUAAUCAUUAUUUUAUUUAAUCUCCCAACGAUGCUAUGAAACAAGUAUAAUUAACCACCAUAUAAAGGAGGAAGCAAGACUCAAAGAAUCUAAGAGAAUCACCCAUGGUUUUCCUCAGAGGAGCUGCAUCAGGAUUUGAACCCAGCUCUGAGACCCAAGUACAAUGCCUUCCAAAGAACGAGUCAGCAAAAGAAGACGUGUCUUCUAUGAGAGACCAAAAGAGAGUUUUGCUCGCACAGUUUCUUCAGCUCAUCCAGUCGCUAAAUUAACACAGAAGCCACCAUUGUAACCCACUGCAGAGACAACACAGAAGUUAAGAAAGAAGAUCAGAGUCGGGGUCUCCCUCAGGCUUGUCAGCAGGCACGACACGAUCUCCUGCUGGCUGUGAAGAGCUUAAAGAUUGACAAGACAACUGAAAGGACUGAUGCUAUCGUUCAUCACUACAUCGGCAGUCAUGGUGCCUCUCUCUCAACUUCUAGGCUAUGGAGGUUUUUUGAAGUCUGUAGCUCUGUAAACAAAGUGCCAUGUCAUGGUAUUCCUGGCAACUGACCCCUUCAGACUAGAGAUAUGAUCAACAGAGGUCAGGGUCUACUGCAAGAGCUGUCCCGGAGACACCUCAGAAACAUUUUUGGUGGAAGACGUGGACCAAUGUGGUAACAACUCAGCAGAGUCUGCCAGGAGGUGUAGAGAUAAAGCAACUGCCCCGUACAGAGCAGAGCUCCUUUCGCUGGAAUUGCAAGCACAAUCAGCCACAGAACUCAUCCAAAUGGUUUUUGCAAGUCUUUCCCCGUUUGGGGGCGUUGCAGGGCAGAAAGGCACUUCUUCACCUCCGCAGGAUGGAUGGGGCCAGGACUUUGCACGCAGUUGCCCCACGAAUCCCACGGCAGCGGUGGCCAGGGGUGGCAAGGGCCACUAGAGUCACCACGUCCAAGUCCUGGUCUGGAUCCCACCACACUUUUCCCAGCCCAGCCGGGUCUGCCACGACGGACGCAAACAAGCACCUCUCUAACUUCUUCCACAGGCAGUCGCGCUCCACACACUCUAGGGGCCAGUGCGUGACGUCACGCACCUCAUGCACCUCAUGCACCUCAUGCACCUCAUGCACCUCACUGCUGGAUCGGCACUUGGCAAGCUCUUCCGGUGCAGUUUCUAUGCUGCGGCUUGUUCCGGUCACAGGACCUGUGUGGAUUGACCUUGCGGAUUAAAACGCAGGGCGUCUGCCGUGGGGCCGGCCGCCUCCGGUGUGGAGAGUGCUUUUCAAGAGCACAAACAGCGUAGCCUUGCAUGGUUUCUUCCUCCGGGAGUCGAGAGACGUCAAGAUUUCCAGCCACCUCCACUUCACUGCCUGUGCGGGAAGGCCUCUACUUUCCUCUCCUGGAAGAUGUGGGAGUCCCAGAGCCGCUGACCUUCAUCUCAAAAAGGUUCCUAUUCCAGCAGCAAUUUCUCUUCCCACCAGCAAAGAUGAGUUCCAGUGUCCCCGCAUGCUGGCCAGUGCAACACAGUAACAAACUCCUGAGGUUUCACCAUAUU